UACGAAGGGGGCGAGCGUUGUUCGGAUUUACUGGGCGUAAAGGGCGCGCAGGCGGCCGGCCAAGUCAGGCGUGAAAGCCCCGGGCUUAACCUGGGAAUGGCAUUUGGGACUGCAAGGCUUGAGUGCGGCAGAGGAGACUGGAAUUCCUGGUGUAGCAGUGAAAUGCGUAGAUAUCAGGAGGAAUACCGAUGGCGAAGGCAGGUCUCUGGGCUGACACUGACGCUCAUGCACGAAAGCGUGGGGAGCAAACAGG
rnacentral:rRNA from 1 species